rnacentral:rRNA from 1 species
UACGAAGGGGGCUAGCGUUGCUCGGAAUCACUGGGCGUAAAGGGCGCGUAGGCGGCCUGAUCAGUCGGGGGUGAAAGCCUGUGGCUCAACCACAGAAUGGCCUCGAUACUGUCAGGCUUGAGACCGGAAGAGGUAAGUGGAACUGCGAGUGUAGAGGUGAAAUUCGUAGAUAUUCGCAAGAACACCAGUGGCGAAGGCGGCUUACUGGUCCGGAUCUGACGCUGAGGCGCGAAAGCGUGGGGGAGCAAACAGG